CCUACGGGGGGCAGCAGUGAGGAAUAUUGGUCAAUGGACGAGAGUCUGAACCAGCCAAGUAGCGUGAAGGAUGACUGCCCUAUGGGUUGUAAACUUCUUUUAUAUGGGAAUAAAAUGUUACACGAGUGGGACUUUGUAUGUACAAUAUGAAUAAGGAUCGGCUAACUCCGUGCCAGCAGCCGUGGUAAUACGGAGGAUCCGAGCGUUAUCCGGAUUCAUUGGGUUUAAAGGGAGCGUAGGUGGAUUGUUAAGUCAGUUGUGAAAGUUUGCGGCUCAACCGUAAAAUUGCAGUUGAAACUGGCAGUCUUGAGUACAGUAGGGGUAGGCGGAAUUCGUGGUGUAGCAGUGAAAUGCGUAGAUAUCGCGAAGAACUCCGAUUGCGAAGGCAGUUCACUGGACUGCAACUGACACUGAGGCUCGAAGGUGUGGGUAUCGAACAGGAUUAGAUACCCUGGUAGUC
rnacentral:rRNA from 1 species